CAUACAGUGCCCCUGUUGUCAGAGAGGCCAAACUGGUGUUGGGAGGACUGUUGUUGCAGUGCGGCAUGUGCUUUGGCAUGGCCUUUGCAGCCCCACUCCACAUGGGGCUCUCCACUUUCUCUCUUUCCUAACCCUAACCCUAGGCCUAAUGCCAACGGGGACCCUAAUGUGAGGGGAGGCCUGCACGGGAGCCAUACAGCGCCCUUGAGGUCGGAGAGGCCCAAGUGGUGUUGGGAGGAGUGUUGUUGCAGCGCCGCAUGUGCUUUGGCAUGGCUUUUGCAGCCCCACUCCACAUGGGGCUCUCCACUUUCUCUCUUUCCUAACCCUAACCCUAGGCCUAAUGCCAACGGGGACCCUAAUGUGAGGGGAGGCCUGCACGGGAGCCAUACAGCGCCCUUGAGGUCGGAGAGGCCCAAGUGGUGUUGGGAGGAGUGUUGUUGCAGCGCCGCAUGUGCUUUGGCAUGGCUUUUGCAGCCCCACUCCACAUGGGGCUCUCCACUUUCUCUCUUUCCUAACCCUAACCCUAGGCCUAAUGCCAACGGGGACCCUAAUGUGAGGGGAGGCCUGCACGGGAGCCAUACAGCGCCCUUGAGGUCGGAGAGGCCCAAGUGGUGUUGGGAGGAGUGUUGUUGCAGCGCCGCAUGUGCUUUGGCAUGGCUUUUGCAGCCCCACUCCACAUGGGGCUCUCCACUUUCUCUCUUUCCUAACCCUAACCCUAGGCCUAAUGCCAACGGGGACCCUAAUGUGAGGGGAGGCCUGCACGGGAGCCAUACAGCGCCCUUGAGGUCGGAGAGGCCCAAGUGGUGUUGGGAGGAGUGUUGUUGCAGCGCCGCAUGUGCUUUGGCAUGGCUUUUGCAGCCCCACUCCACAUGGGGCUCUCCACUUUCUCUCUUUCCUAACCCUAACCCUAGGCCUAAUGCCAACGGGGACCCUAAUGUGAGGGGAGGCCUGCACGGGAGCCAUACAGCGCCCUUGAGGUCGGAGAGGCCCAAGUGGUGUUGGGAGGAGUGUUGUUGCAGCGCCGCAUGUGCUUUGGCAUGGCUUUUGCAGCCCCACUCCACAUGGGGCUCUCCACUUUCUCUCUUUCCUAACCCUAACCCUAGGCCUAAUGCCAACGGGGACCCUAAUGUGAGGGGAGGCCUGCACGGGAGCCAUACAGCGCCCUUGAGGUCGGAGAGGCCCAAGUGGUGUUGGGAGGAGUGUUGUUGCAGCGCCGCAUGUGCUUUGGCAUGGCUUUUGCAGCCCCACUCCACAUGGGGCUCUCCGCUUUCUCUCUUUCCUAACCCUAACGUUAACUGUAACGAUGCAUCCUACCUUUAAUGUCCCACACGUUUACACCUUUGUUUAUC
rnacentral:lncRNA from 1 species